CGGAAUGUAGCGCAGUUUGGUAGCGCACUUCGUUAGGGACGAAGGGGUCGCAGGUUCAAAUCCUGUCAUUCCGACCA
rnacentral:tRNA from 1 species